GUCCUGUGCGGCUCAGUUGGUAGAGCAUGGCGCUUGCACUGCCAGGGUUGUGGGUUUGAUUCCCACAUGGGACC
rfam:Salmo salar isolate Sally breed double haploid chromosome ssa17, whole genome shotgun sequence.